CGACCAGUUUGUAAAUUUUAUUAAAAAUACCUGUUCGCAAUUUGUGUGACAUCGCCGAUUGACAAACAGCCGCACAAACCAGAAUAAACAUCUCAGAUAUUUUAACCUGAAUCAUAUUCGUAGAAAAUGCGUCUCGUUUCCGUCAAACACCGGUUUUCUGUAAUUUCAGCGCUUUUCUACCGGGUGCAACCGGCCUAGAAGAAUGGUAGGAUGGCUUCUUCAGAAUGGUCCGGUCGUGACUCAACGAAAAGGAUCAUUAGGGCGUCACAUACCUUUCCGGUUAUAUCGAGGAUUUGGAGCUUUUUAGACGGCAAAUUCUCCCUGUUAUUUAAGUGCAAAACCAACUGCCUCCCUGAUAACUAGGAACGUUGAAGACAAUCGUCAUUCAUUUUAAAAGACGCCGAUAAACGAUUCUUUGAGGUCGAAAGGGUUCUUCUCUUCCGAAAACAGUGGAAUAUUUUUUGAUUAAGCAUAAAAGGUUUAAUGAGCAAAUAAAAAGUGCCGCGUCCUAAAUUCAAAGACAAAAGUAAGGCAAGGAAUCGGUUGUACAGAUGAAAGCUUAAAUGCAACACUUAAUAAGCAGAAAAAGUUGGAAAGUUACGCAAAAUGUGUAAAGUGAAACCAAAGUCGAAAAACUGGUAAACGGCGUUGAAAACUUGAUGGACAUCACCUACUAAUGGACCGAAACUUUGGCAAAUUAUCCAUUAAUUUAAUAAAGCAAGAGUAAAACAGAUAUGGAAAGGAACAGAAUCAAAGCUGUUUGUCCCACAUUACAAUAUUGAAUUAUAUGAAAAAAAUUAAUAGAUUAGAAUCUUACAGACCGAAUAUCAUUAGUAAUCAAUGAAUAAACCGAGAAUUAUCCUUGUAUUUGCUAAUUAUAAGGAUAUUUGCUGAUU